GUCCCUGUAGCGCAAUGGAUAGCACGUUGGACUUCUAAUCCAAAGGUCGUGGGUUCGAAUCCUACCUGGGAUG